rnacentral:lncRNA from 1 species
UCUUUAAUGAAUUAUAAAUGAAAGGGGAGCAAUUCAAAAAGUCAAAUUGGCAACAUUUAAAUGAAAUAGGGGGAGAUUUCACUCUUAUAUAUGAAAAGCUGAAAUUCAGCAAGUUAAGCCCUUUCAAAAACUGAUCUUAAAGACAAGUAUCAAUAGGCUCAUACUCUUUAUUUUGUAAUCAUCAAAAAGGGAGAGAUUGAGGAUGAUAGUGUUAUUUUGAUGAUUAACAAGCAAUUAUCUAGAGUUUGUUAUAAGUUAAAUUGAUACUUCAUUUAUAAGACUAUUACUCUCAGGACAUUUGUAUAAAUUGAUAUAGAUACAUUUCAUUGUUUAUUUGAAUGAAUCUAACCUUGAGAUGCAGCAAAGUGUGGAUUGAGUCGACCCAAAGGAUGAUUGGGUCGACCCCGGCACAUCAAGAAAUCAUUUGGCACACUUCUGCAAAAAUGGUACAGAUGAACAGUGAGUUGGGUCGACCCAAGGAAAGCAUGAGUCGACCCAAACAUCAAGAUCCUCAAA